GGUGGGACACGCAGUAUCACAAGGAGAUGUGCAGGUUCUGGAGCCCGAUUGCCUAGUUUAAAGGAUGUUGCUGGAGAAGAGAAGAGAAAGCAGUUGACAUGUUCUAGCUGUCUUGUCAAAUUAAGUGCUGAGUAACCAGACUAGUGGUAUUUGGGCAGUGGAUGGUCUACCUUCUGAUUUGGGCUCCAGUGGCAACACAACCCAAUGACAGACCGUGUGGGCAGUGCAGUGCCAUUCAAGAAGUUCACUUUGAAACCUGUUAUGUGGCACUUGGAAAAUCUCAGAUAAGUCACUUACUACUUCUGAGCUUUUGUUCUUGGUCAGGAUGGCCUGUUAUUUUUAGAAUUUAUAUUGUAGUCUAUUCAUACAUUUCCCUGAGGAACAGGGGCUCAGUGUCACUGAGUCAGUGUGUGUGGAUGGCAUUGCGGGACAUGAAUAUCGUGAAUAAUGAGAACUAACAACGCACACAGAGCUGUAAUUAGAUAAAUAAAUACAUGAUGCAUUUGGUUGAAAUAA